UGAGUGAAGAAGGCCCUCGGGUUGUAAAGCUCUUUUGUCCGGAAAGAAAAGCUUUCGGUUAAUACCCGGAAGUCCUGACGGUACCGGAAGAAUAAGCACCGGCUAACUUCGUGCCAGCAGCCGCGGUAAUACGAAGGGUGCAAGCGUUACUCGGAAUUACUGGGCGUAAAGCGUGCGUAGGUGGUUCGUUAAGUCUGAUGUGAAAGCCCUGGGCUCAACCUGGGAAUUGCAUUGGAUACUGGCGGGCUAGAGUGCGGUAGAGGAUGGCGGAAUUCCCGGUGUAGCAGUGAAAUGCGUAGAGAUCGGGAGGAACAUCCGUGGCGAAGGCGGCCAUCUGGACCAGCACUGACACUGAGGCACGAAAGCGUGGGGAGCAAACAGGAUUAGAUACCCUGGUAGUCCACGCCCUAAACGA
rnacentral:rRNA from 1 species